CUUUUUGUGCUAAGAGACAUUUUUCCUCACUAAGUAGAUAAGAGGGAAUGACUGUGGUUCAUGUUUGAGUCUCCAUGCCAAACGCCCCAUCCUGUGGUGUCACUGAUGUACGUGCACUGUUACAGAGGGCAGCUUUAUAAAGUACACAAGUGCCUUGGAUACCUCAUUGCUCUCCAGCUUCUUAGAUCUGUAGACUGACAAUCUGGAGACAAUCUGGUGACAGAGUACAUCUUCAACAAUGUACACUAGAAGGAGUGUUGUGCAGUAUUCUCUACCAUCACGUCCCAAUGUAAAUGACAGAAUUCAGGAUUUAUAAAACCAAACUAACCCCCUUUAGUCUUACCUUAGAUGGGCUGCUGCUGAAAUAAUAGAAUAUUUUCUCUCGAUGAGAGAGAGCAGACACGUUUUUGUGGGGUGAGAUGUAGACCGGGUGGUUCUGAGUCAGCUGUACUCUGCGAGGAGAGCUAAUUCUCACAAAGGGGUAGGGCGAGAGCGGAGGGGAGUCCGUCUGCUCAGGAGGAAAAAAAACACUCAGCUGCUACGUAAUCUCGGUAAGGUAUCUACAGUAAGGCUGUUGUAAGCUGGUCAUUUUUAGCACAGUUCAGAUGUUUUUCUCACAGCCUUCCCUAGGACACAGCAGGAUUUGUUGUACAUCUAGGAAAUAUUAGUAUUUUACUUUUUAUCUGAGGCUGGUGGAUGACAUUCAUUGGGGCCGUGUAUUUCAGCGAGAGGAAGUAACAAAUAGGCAGCAAAAGGGUUUAAUCUUUCAGCACCAGAUUAUAUACUUGAACUGGAAUUUUUGUCAUGAAUACUCUUGCUUUCCUUAAGAUGAGGUUAGCUAAGGGUACUCUACUGCACGCACAGUAAAAUAAGAUCUAUUUACUAACAGAAGCACAGUGCUAUCUCACCCCAUUUGAAGUGUACUUCAGGGCAAAUUCCUUGAUCUGCUCAAUGUAGAUGCUGUUGUAGAACUGUAUGAGGUCUCCUCGCUCUUCCUCCUCAGUAUCGCUGUUUGCUCCGGUCAGGCGGGUGGGAGUAGGAGGAGCACUGCUGGGGUGGGGCACAGGCAGGGUGCUGCUGGAGCGCAUCACGGGGCUGGAGUCUCUGCUGGCUGAGGAGAGAAGCGCACACUCCUCAAUCCCCAGCAGGGCACAGGCGCCUGCCCUCAGUGCUGGCGAUCCUGCUCAGCACCCUGCCUUACAGCAGACCAGCGAAAUGCUGAGUAUUGCUCCAGGAACACUUCAUUUCUAACAGCUUAGUGCAUGAGCUGAUUUUUUUCUGCAGAAGCUGAGCUAAAAUUCCAUUUCUCAGGCAUUUCCCCUGUAAUUUGCCAUGUUGCCAGCUGGCCCAACUUCAAUUGAGGAACGUCAGUCUUUCUUUCGGCAAAUGGUAGCAAUAUUUGCCUUGGUGGUACUUUUGCCUUUGUAAUGUGGGAAUUUGUGGAAUAUGUUAUUUUUGUCCCUCCCCUCCUUGCCCCCUUUCUGUGACAGAAAACAUUAAAACGUACGGUUGUACUGUCAAGUAUUUGAAAGCCGGUUGUAAGAAUAUGCAUGCUCACUUUUACUUGCUUUUUUAUGCAAAAUUCAGUCAAGGAAAAAUGUGUUAAUUCAGGUAUUGAGGCUAGAAUCUUUGUCCGCACUCCAGAGACAUGAGAUGUGCUAUACCAGAUGCUGGGAGGGGCUGGUGGUGGUUUUCGUCUAUGAAGCCAGCCAGCUGCUGCCUCUCUGCUAAACUAUUAAAAGACACUGCUGUGGACAUGCUACUUUCACUCUACAUCAUGUUCUCUGGUGUCCAGACUUACCUGAGGAGUACACUUAAGGUAAACACACGCAGUGACAGAUUCAAAACUGCACUGUCACAGCAGGUGCAAUGCUAAGCUUCACUUUGCAAAACAACUCUUGCACGUUGUUGGUACGUUCUUAAUUGCAGCUAAGUUUACCUAAGAAGGAACUGUUUGGUGUGGGGGGUGACACAAAAUCCAACUUGUACCCUAACUACACUGUUCUGAGAGCAGGAUUAAAAAUGAACAUCUGGAAUUUGGAAACACUCACUUCUUUCUUUACUUCUCUCCUUACUUCUGUCUGUAGGGGAGUUCUGCUGGCUGCUGCUGUCACUGCUGCCAGACUGGCGGCGGCGUCUCCUGCCUUUUAUCAGGACACUCCUGUACACCUGCAGGGAGACAAGAGCAGCACAGCACCUGUGAGUGAUGCGCAGCUGCGCAUUCUGGAAGCAACAGUCUGCACCAUACAUCUGCUUUUAGAACACUGUUUGACAUCACAUUGUUUUCUAUAUGGGAAAAUGCAGGCAGCUUCCUACCUGUCAUCCAGUAGGUACUGUUGAUGGAGGUUGUAAGUGAAGAUAAGUUAAAUUACAGGUACAGAAAAAGCUUUCAGUAGUGCAAGAUUUGGGUGCGACUGCUAUUUUUAAGGACAGUGGCUCUGAGAAUGCAUCAUUUAAUAUUUAUUAGAUGAUGUCAUUUAUUAAAUGCCUUAGUUCUGCUUUGGGAACGAGGAGAUUUCUAACUGUACUUACGUGACUCUUGGCUUGCGGUUGUGUCCGGUAGCAGCGCAUAAUGUUCUGGAACGACCUGUCUUCCUUUGUAACCUAAGAAUAGUGAGUAUUAGACCUCCUGUGGUAGCUUUUGGUUGUUUUCUUCCCCCACCGUUUGGUUUGCUGAGGUUGUUUUUGGGGUUGUUAGAGCAAUCUCUGAACUACCAAGCCUUAGAAAACGUGUGUUUUUGUUCAGCUUACCUUGGCCAUUACGUAGAUGGCGCACAUCAGCAGCUGAUCCAGAUGCCUGUCCAUCAUGAUUUCAGGGCAGUGCAUCAGGGAAUACUCAAAACACGUCCAGACUUUUUUCCGCAGCUCAUCAGAUAUAUCCAGCUUGACAGAGAGAUCCCGCAGACGAACACUUGCUAAAUGAUACACCUGAUGGAAGAGAGACAGUGCAGCGACCGCGUCAACGGUGCUUCUUAUCCAGAGCCUUGAAGAUGGACACGUUUAAGCAGCUGCUACCCACAGCUGUAAAUCUACUUCUCAGCUAGUGACAGCUGUACUGUUCAGCUACUCUGACAGUGAGAAAUUUCUGCACCGGAAACCAACCCUUCAGGAAUGGUCACAGUUUGCCCAUUAUUGGCUGUUACGGUGGCGGUUGCUACUGUAACCAAUGUCUGGCCAGGCACUGGAGUUACUGACACUGCUUCAGGAUUCACGUUCUGCACAGGCACCGUAUUUACCACGGGCUGCUGGGAAACUCUGACUGGAGUUCCGUUGUCGGAGGUAUUAUCGUUAUCAACAAACAACCUUCUCCUGGUAGGGUGGGCUGUAGGAGAGCUGUAUCUGUCAUACAGGGUAGUAGGAGAAGAUGAAAUGCCUGGGGAUUUAAAAAAAACAAAAUCUAAUUGUAAAAUCCCUUAUAAUACAAAUAGAUUUAAAAAAAUGUGAUGAGACCCCAAAUGUCUCAUCACAUUGGAAGCAUUUAAAAUUAAUGUCUACAUCUGUGGCUUACAGAUUAUGAGAUGACUUGAUCUCAAAUAACACGGUGCUGAAUAUCUUUUCCUUCGAGACUGUAUUAUGCUUUAGUUCCCCAGAAAAAGCCUGAAGCCUCACAGAACUAAACAUACAUUGGAGCUUCUAAUCUGGUGUAACAAAAAAGCUGCUCAGGUGCUACUGAUCAGAACAGAUGUACUUAUUUAAACACAUACAUGUGUGUACACAGAUGUCGUUUGUAGAUAUAAGCUCCUGAAACCAGUGACACGGGACUGUUUUGAUCUGAAAUAAUGUUUCUGUCUUAGACAACUGAUGCGACUAUGCAAGUUACAACAGAAAUAGCAUUUACAAGUGCACAAUUCAUGCACAAUUGUACAUAAACCACUAGAGCAGCUUCCUUCUGUACGCCCUUCAGAUUUGUAAAUUCAGGGCACGGUGUAAGAGUGAUAAAUACACUGUACUUAAAAAACAGCUCACCUUUUCCCAGGCCUCCGGUUUCAGCUCGGACCUCGUUUAGUCGUCUUGGUGUCAGUGGAGAACCCACAACACUGUUGGCAGCAGAUCUCUCAAAAUACUGAGGUGGCAUGACCUGAAAUAGUUGUACUUUUAUUAGUGUGUCUGUGGCACAAAUGAUUUUUAGAACCACCAGUCUAUAAAUGUUGAACAGUGAAACUAUAUGGAGGAAAAGAAAAAUGAAGAACAUUGAAAAAUUACUGUAAACUUAACUUGAAAACUUCGUAAUGAUUGUACUACUCUAGAAAAUACAAUCCUGCAAUAAUCAUUCUGUGACUGUAAUUAAGAGUCUGUUCUUAACCAGACUCCUGUAGCAGUCUUCUCAAGUGUGACUGUUUCAUACCUCCUCUGUGUUCAUUAUUCACUGUGCUCCUACUCUAAGCAAAUACGGGGCGAGAAUCACAUCAGCUGGAUGCCUGCGUUUGGACAUCUCUGCAGUGGUAACAGGUCACACACAAACACAUGCAGCUCUUUCUCUGCCCCGCUUAGCUUGUAGGGAGAAACUGAACUCUGCGCAUACAAUGCUGAUGUCCACUCUCCACCAUUCUGUUUGAACAGACAUGUUAGGGGUACAGAGACAUGCUCACCUCUUCACAGCUAGGAACUCUGUUGUCGUUAUCUCUGAUUCUGUCCCACAAUAUGGACUCCUGUUUCCAGGCCAUGCUUUCCAAGAUCUGUUCUUCAAUAUGAUUAAGGUGUUUUACAACUUCCCGACAAAGGCCGUCUUCUGCUCUAAUGAAAACCUCAAUUACCUGUAAUGCAGAGAGCAAUGAAGUCCUUGUGGUACUGAAUAAACCAGUGACUGAGUAUAAUAUUCUUGUUUUCAUAUAUUUCUUCUUACAGUGAAAUUAGAUCCUAAAUUUUCAAGGAAGAGACUAGUACAAUUAUUAGACUGUGUCAGUAUGGUUCAAUUGUCUGGUGGGCUGCAAGUUUAUCAGAAGACAGGUACAUGUAUCUUCCCACAGCAGCAGUGAAUGCAGAACAGCUGCAGCAGCAGCUCAGGAUCCCUGGUCACUAGCUCAAGAUAAAUGACAAUCCUUAGUCACUUGCACACUGCUCCUAUGUUAAACUGAUUACCAGUAGUCUGAUCUUUAAAUGCCCAAACCAGCUGUAAAAUACUUUCAAGACAAAAAGGGGCAAUGCUAAGAAUGAAGAGUUAAUACACAUUUAGGUAAAGAGAUUAUUUAAUAUAAGCCAAGAGUACACAGGACUUGAUCAACAUUUCUAGCUAUUACUUUACCUUAUAGAAGUGAUAAACUGGAAUGUCAAAUAUUUCAGUGAUGAAGGGAAAGCUUCCAGGUAACUUGUACGUGAAGGUGACAAUCUCAAGGCAGCACGCCAGCAGGGAGCGAUGAAACACAUCUUGCUCCAGUACUGCCUGCAAGAGAGUUGCCCAAUUUAAUGCUUCAUUUACAGUGUAACAACAGAACUGCAUGAUGCUUUCUGUUCUGCCUCAACAGUGAGAUUAGAAAGUUUUUAACUAGACAUUUGCUUUUGUACAUGAUGGAACAGAAUCCAAAUUAAAACAUCCUUAUUCUUUGUAAAUUUUAUAUAUCCUUUUUGUUCGCAAAGGUGAAUAAUUUCUUGGACAGCUUUUCUUCCAUUCAGGAAUGCCUUCCAACAACUCAAGAGAUUUACUCAUCUAAAAUAGCAUUAUCCUGUCCUAUAAAUAUUUUCUUUG